rnacentral:rRNA from 1 species
AACACGUGAGAAACUUUCCCUAGAGUCGAACAUAGCUUCGUGAAAACGGAGGUAAUAUUCGAUACGGCCUUCGGACCUCAUGGUCUGAUGGUUAAAGGUGGGGACCUUCGGGCCUACCGCUUUAGGAUGGUCUCGCGGCCUAUCAGCUUGUUGGUGAGGUAAUGGCUCACCAAGGCGUAUGACGGGUAGCCGGCCUGAGAGGGUGAUCGGCCACACUGGGACUGAGACACUGCCCAG